rfam:Halostagnicola larsenii XH-48, complete genome.
GUGGGAACCGCACGGCCGCAAAUCUGACCCCGUCGCCCGCUCUCUUUGGGCGACUCGAGAUUGCGGAAGUGC